rnacentral:misc_RNA from 1 species
UGGUGCAAUCAGGAAAGACAGGGUCCUUGUAGGUGGAAGAAAUGUUCAGACUAUCCGGAUGGCAGUUCAAAAUGACCAUUCUAAAAGUCCAAGCGCUCCAUAACAGAAUGUGAACUUCCACAGGAUUGGCCUGGAGAAUUGAGGCCUUCGAUAUUUAGUCGGUGACAAGGAGCCCUGCGUUCAAUUUGAAUGAACAUUUCCUGUGUGUGUGUAAAGUCCAUGUGGCCCCGUUAUAAAAGCAUGUUCUGAAUUAGUGGAUACUGUCAUACGGGAAAAAGGAGGCAAAUAGAACUUUUGCAUAUCAUAACAAAGACCCGUGAAAGUACAGGACGCUAAAAUAUCAACAUUUUUCUAAUUUUCUUCCAAUACCAAACUUCAUGUCUAUGGUCUCCCAAAGUGAAGAGAAGGAAAAUGAGGUCCCAAUUAACUAGAUAUGGUAAAAUGCGUUGAAGGGAUUGUCACCUGUAAUUUGGAAGUUGAUCUUUUGGAUGUUUUUG